AAUUGGAGGGCAAGUCUGGUGCCAGCAGCCGCGGUAAUUCCAGCUCCAAUAGCGUAUAUUAAAGUUGUUGCAGUUAAAAAGCUCGUAGUUGAAUUUCGGGACUGACAGGUUGGUCGCGCCUUCGGUGUGUACUGGCCUAGUCGGUUUCUCCCUUCUGACGAACCACGAUGUCAUUAAUUUGGUGUCGUGGGGAAUCAGGACUGUUACUUUGAAAAAAUUAGAGUGUUUAAAGCAGGCUUAGGCUUGAAUACAUUAGCAUGGAAUAAUGAAAUAGGACGUUUGAUCCUAUUUUGUUGGUUUCUAGGAUUGACGUAAUGAUUAAUAGGGAUAGUUGGGGGCAUUAGUAUUCAAUUGUCAGAGGUGAAAUUCUUGGAUUUAUUGAAGACUAACUACUGCGAAAGCAUUUGCCAAGGAUGUUUUCAUUAAUCAAGAACGAAAGUUAGGGGAUCGAAGACGAUCAGAUACCGUCGUAGUCUUAACCAUAAACUAUGCCGACUAGGGAUCGGAUGAUGUUAAUUUUUUAAUGACUCAUUCGGCGCCUUACGGGAAACCAAAGUGU
rnacentral:rRNA from 1 species